rnacentral:rRNA from 1 species
AUUGAACGCUGGCGGCAUGCCUUACACAUGCAAGUCGAACGGUAACAGGUCUUCGGAUGCUGACGAGUGGCGAACGGGUGAGUAAUACAUCGGAACGUGCCUAGUAGUGGGGGAUAACUACUCGAAAGAGUGGCUAAUACCGCAUGAGAUCUACGGAUGAAAGCAGGGGAUCGCAAGACCUUGUGCUACUAGAGCGGCCGAUGGCAGAUUAGGUAGUUGGUGGGAUAAAAGCUUACCAAGCCGACGAUCUGUAGCUGGUCUGAGAGGACGAUCGCCCACACUGGGACUGAGACACGGCCCAGACUCCUACGGGAGGCAGCAGUGGGGAAUUUUGGACAAUGGGCGAAAGCCUGAUCCAGCAAUGCCGCGUGCAGGAUGAAGGCCUUCGGGUUGUAAACUGCUUUUGUACGGAACGAAAAGCCCCGGGUUAAUACCCUGGGGUCAUGACGGGACCGUAAGAAUAAGCACCGGCUAACUACGUGCCAGCCGCCGCGGUAA